rnacentral:lncRNA from 1 species
UCCAAUAUAAGGUAAAUUUCCCACUACCAUCCCUGUUAAGGAAAAAUGGGUGACCUAAUUCAGUAAUUGACACUCUAAAGAAUUUAUUUUUGAAAUCUUUGUAAGAGUCGGCAUAUAGCCUUAGAAGGGUAUUCUUAGGUUCAGAUCUUAAUGAUACCCAACCCCUUUUUACGUUAGGAUGGGUCCUAAAGAAGUAUAGAAACAAAGGAGCAGUCGGUGUAAUAUCUAAGGAUUGAAACAUUACGCCGAACGCCUGAAUGUAACCCCAACCAUUGGGGUGAAGCUGCGUAGGAGCAACAUUAAGCGUUUUCAAAACAUCAAUUUGAAAAUCAGUAAACGGAAGCCUAAGAUACAUAU